rnacentral:tRNA from 1 species
GCGGGAAUAGCUCAGUUGGUAGAGCACGACCUUGCCAAGGUCGGGGUCGCGAGUUCGAGGUCUCGUUUCCCGCUCCA